rnacentral:rRNA from 1 species
ACUUCGGUCCCGAGUAGAGUGGCGCACGGGUGAGUAACGCGUAAGUGAUCUACCCCUGUAUCUGGGAUAACUGUGGGAAACUGCAGCUAAUACCGGAUACGUUCAUGUAGUUGCGAUUAUGUGAAGAAAGAUGGCCUCUGAUUCAAGCUAUUGUACAGGGAGGAGCUUGCGUACCAUUAGCUAGUUGGUAGGGUAAUGGCCUACCAAGGCAACGAUGGUUAGCGGGUCUGAGAGGAUGAUCCGCCACACUGGAACUGAAACACGGACCAGACUCCUACGGGAGGCAGCAGUGAGGAAUAUUGCGCAAUGGGGGCAACCCUGACGCAGCGACGCCGCGUGGAUGAUGAAGGCCUUCGGGUCGUAAAAUCCUGUCAGAUGGGAAGAAGUGUGCGAUGGCUAAUACCUGUUGCAUUUGACGGUACCAUCAGAGGAAGCACCGGCUAACUCCGUGCCAGCAGCCGCGGUAAUACGGAGGGUGCAAGCGUUGUUCGGAAUUACUGGGCGUAAAGCGCGCGUAGGCGGUUUGUUAAGUCAGAUGUGAAAGCCCAAGGCUCAACCUUGGACGUGCAUUUGAAACUGGCAGACUUGAGUAUUGGAGGGGGUGGUGGAAUUCCCGGUGUAGAGGUGAAAUUCGUAGAUAUCGGGAGGAAUACCGGUGGCGAAGGCGACCACCUGGCCAAAUACUGACGCUGAGGUGCGAAAGCGUGGGGAGCAAACAGGAUUAGAUACCCUGGUAGUCCACGCCGUANACGAUGAGAACUAGGUGUUGGGACGGUUGAUCGUCUCNUUGCCGCAGCUAACGCAUUAAGUUCUCCGCCUGGGGAGUACGGUCGCAAGAUUAAAACU